AUAACUUCGGGAAACCGGAGCUAAUACCGAUAAUAUAUUGAACCGCAUGGUUCAAUGUGAAAGACGGUUUUGCUGUCACUUAUAGAUGGAUCCGCGCCGCAUUAGCUAGUUGGUAAGGUAACGGCUUACCAAGGCAACGAUGCGUAGCCGACCUGAGAGGGUGAUCGGCCACACUGGAACUGAGACACGGUCCAGACUCCUACGGGAGGCAGCAGAC
rnacentral:rRNA from 1 species